ACUCAAAGGAAUUGACGGGUCCCCGCACAAGCAGCGGAGCGUGUGGUUUAAUUCGAUGCAACGCGCAGAACCUUACCCAGACUUGACAUGACGUGGAAAGGCUUGGAAACAGGCCCCCCGCAAGGCCGCGUCACAGAUGUUGCAUGGCUGUCGUCAGCUCGUGUCGUGAGAUGUUGGGUUAAGUCCCGCAACGAGCGCAACCCUCGUGCUGUGUUGCAGAUCACAGCAGACUGCCGGUACAAGCCGGAGGAAGGUGGGGAUGAUGUCAAGUCCGCAUGGCUCUUACGUCUGGGGCGACACACACGCUACAAUGGCCGGGACAAUGGGCGGCAACCCCGCGAGGGGGAGCGAAUCCCAAAAGCCGGUCUCAGUUCGGAUGGCAGGCUGCAACCCGCCUGCCUGAAGUCGGAGUUGCUAGUAACCGCGUGUCAGCAUAGCGCGGUGAAUACGUUCCCGGGGAUUGUACACACCGCCCGU
rnacentral:rRNA from 1 species